rnacentral:rRNA from 1 species
AAGACCUUGCGCUUUUGGAGCGGCCGAUGCCUGAUUAGCUUGUUGGUAAGGUAAAAGCUUACCAAGGCUUCGAUCAGUAGCUGGUCUGAGAGGACGACCAGCCACACUGGGACUGAGACACGGCCCAGACUCCUACGGGAGGCAGCAGUGGGGAAUUUUGGACAAUGGGGGCAACCCUGAUCCAGCCAUGCCGCGUGAGUGAAGAAGGCCUUCGGGUUGUAAAGCUCUUUCAGCCGGAACGAAACGGUUACGGAUAACACCCGUGACUACUGACGGUACCGGAAGAAGAAGCACCGGUUAACUACGUGCCAGCAGCCGCGGUAAUACGUAGGGUGCGAGCGUUAAUCGGAAUUACUGGGCGUAAAGGGUGCGCAGGCGGUUUUGUAAGUCAGAUGUGAAAUCCCCGGGCUUAACCUGGGAACU